UACGUAGGGGGCUAGCGUUGUCCGGAAUCAUUGGGCGUAAAGAGCGUGUAGGCGGUCCGGUAAGUCCGCUGUGAAAGUCGGGGGCUCAACCCUCGAAUGCCGGUGGAUACUGUCGGGCUAGAGUGCGGAAGAGGCGAGUGGAAUUCCUGGUGUAGCGGUGAAAUGCGCAGAGUAUCAGGAGGAACACCUAUUGCGAAGGCAGCCCCCUGGGCCGACACUGACGCUCAGGCACGAAAGCGUGGGGAGCAAACAGG
rnacentral:rRNA from 1 species